rnacentral:pre_miRNA from 1 species
UCAUGUCAUGUCAUUUGGGAGACAACACUACCGUGUAGAGGUCUAGAGUCAUGUCUACACGGUAGUGUUGUCUCCCAAAUGACAUGAGGUCUA